CGACGACCGAAAGCCGUUCUCAGUUCGGAUCGGAGUCUGCAACCCGACUCCGUGAAGCUGGAUUCGCUAGUAAUCGCGGAUCAGAAUGCCGCGGCGAAUACGUUCCCGGGUCUUGUACACACCGCCCGUCACACCAUGGGAGUCGGAAAUGCCCGAAGUCUGUGACCUAACCGUAAGGAAGGAGCAGCCGAAGGCAGGUCGGAUGACUGGGGUGAAGUCGUAACAAGGUAAC
rnacentral:rRNA from 1 species